UACGUAGGGCGCAAGCGUUGUCCGGAAUUAUUGGGCGUAAAGAGCUUGUAGGCGGUUUGUCGCGUCUGCUGUGAAAAUCCGAGGCUCAACCUCGGACUUGCAGUGGGUACGGGCAGACUAGAGUGUGGUAGGGGAGACUGGAAUUCCUGGUGUAGCGGUGGAAUGCGCAGAUAUCAGGAGGAACACCGAUGGCGAAGGCAGGUCUCUGGGCCACUACUGACGCUGAGAAGCGAAAGCAUGGGGAGCGAACAGG
rnacentral:rRNA from 1 species